rnacentral:rRNA from 1 species
AUUGAACGCUGGCGGCAUGCCUUACACAUGCAAGUCGAACGGCAGCACGGGAGCAAUCCUGGUGGCGAGUGGCGAACGGGUGAGUAAUACAUCGGAACGUGCCCAGUAGUGGGGGAUAGCGCGGCGAAAGCCGGAUUAAUACCGCAUACGACCUGAGGGUGAAAGCGGGGGAUCGCAAGACCUCGCGCUAUUGGAGCGGCCGAUGUCGGAUUAGCUAGUUGGUGGGGUAAAGGCCUACCAAGGCAACGAUCCGUAGCUGGUCUGAGAGGACGACCAGCCACACUGGGACUGAGACACGGCCCAUACUCCUACGGGAGGCAGCAGUGGGGAAUUUUGGACAAUGGGGGCAACCCUGAUCCAGCCAUGCCGCGUGCGGGAAGAAGGCCUUCGGGUUGUAAACCGCUUUUGUCAGGGAAGAAAUGCUCUGGGCUAAUACCCCGGAGUGAUGACGGUACCUGAAGAAUAAGCACCGGCUAACUACGUGCCAGCCGCCGCAGUAAGAC